AACAAGACGCAGCAGUGAUCUUCCUGACAUCAGAGUCAUAAACCUCUGGCCGGCAGUCACUGAAGGAUUCAGGUUUUCAGGCCCUUCUGCAAAGUGCCCAUGAGGCGGACCACGCAGGCUUGGAGGGUCAACACGCAGUGCGCGCCGAGAAAUGCAGAGCAAGGCGCUGCGCACUUUCUGGCAGCUGCUGCCCCCUGCCGACGUAGCAAGACCUUGACAGCCCAGGAAGGCCACCUGCCGCUCUUUCUGCCAGGCGGAGUAGGAUCCUCUGCAGGUCCUGACCUCCUAACUGCUGUGCUGAUUAACUCACCUGAUACAGCUGUGGGCUAAGAGAAGUGGCAAGAAGCCAAAGCACAUUUCCUGAGCAUCUGUUGGUGCAGGGCCUGUAUCAGGUAUUGGAUAGACUGAGGCCCCAGCCCCACACUUAAGGAAGAUGAAGAUCAGAACAAUUCAUUACCAACCAGCCAAUGUGACAUGCAACAAGACACUGUACAGGAAUGGGGCAUGAGGCCCUACGUCCCCCGCACCUUGACCAUCUCUUCCUCACCUUAAACAAAAUUUCUCGACCCUCUUUCCUGGGAGAAGGAGCUAAGAAACAGUACUCCCACUUCUCAGCUCUUCUUCUCAGCAAAACUUCCUCAGAGAUGACUACCUCCACUUCCCCACCU
rnacentral:lncRNA from 1 species